rnacentral:tRNA from 1 species
GGUGAUUGUAGCUCAGCUGGUUAGAGCGUCGGUUUGUGGUUCCGAAGGUCGGGGGUUCGAAACCCCUCAUUCACCC